UGCCUGUGCCUUGGUCCUGACCCAUGGCCGAGGUCUCACAGGAACUGCCCAGAGGAACAGAAGAUGAAAAGGCGGAGCUCUGGAGCUGACGGGCGUGUCCGUGCGAUGUUCUUCUGACAUUCAGUCCUGUCUGUCCCACGGAUGUGACGGCUCUCUCCAUACUGUCACUGAUCCGCAGACAGGCAGAGAAACGCUGAGCAGACAGAUAUUGUCUGUGGAGACGAGUUUGCUUUCCAGACACUACACGCUCACACACUG